rnacentral:misc_RNA from 1 species
GAAAACCAUUUGUCAAACAAUAUUAGUAGUUUCCCUUGUGGCAACACGGGUCAUAUGUUCUUUAGAUGCCUAUGAUAUCUGAACAAACGAGGUAUCAUGGCUCCAAAACCACAACAAGAGACUCGAAUGGGCUAAAUUCAUUGAGUCUUUAGCAAUCUUUCAUCAGGCUCCCUUGGCAUGAAGCUGAUUUCUGACCUCUAAUGGCG